ensembl:lncRNA
AAGAGAGACAACUGCAGGCCUACUAAUGAAACACAACAACUACUUUUUGGAGUGCCCAUCCCUCCCCCUGGAUUAUCGGUGGCCAGCUAGCGUAAACGGUGAGACUCCUCCUGAAGGUUCAACCACGGGGUUAUGGCCCAGAGGAGAGGUGCUGGGUCCCUGCUAAACACAUCUUGAACCCGGCCCUCAUCGCCGACACCCCGCUCAGCCAGGUAUGUGCCCAGUCUUUCCGGUUUUGACCCCUGCCAGGCUCUGGACUACUUUCUCGCCUGCCUGAUCAUCCUGCCUGCCCUGACCUUGACUGCCUGCCAUUCGAGGAACUGAGCCCUAGGACCAUGCCUCAGGACUACCUGACAUGAUGACUCCUUGCUGUCCCCAGUCCACCUGGCCGUGCUGCUGCUCCAGUUUCAACUGUUCUGCAUUAUUAUUAUUAUUAUUAUUAUUAUUGGACCAUGCUGGUCAUUUAUGAACAUUUGAACAUCUUGGCCAUGUUCUGUUAUAAUCUCCACCCGGCACAGCCAGAAGAGGACUGGCCACCCCUCAUAGCCUGGUUCCUCUCUAGGUUUCUUCCUAGGUUCUGGCCUUUCUAGGGAGUUUUUCCUAGCCACCGUGCUUCUACACCUGCAUUGCUUGCUGUUUGGGGUUUUAGGCUGGGUUUCUGUACAGCACUUUGAGAUAUCAGCUGAUGUACGAAGGGCUAUAUAAAUAAAUUUGAUCUGA